GAUGAACGCUGGCGGCGUGCUUAACACAUGCAAGUCGAACGGAAAGGCCCAAGCUUGCUUGGGUACUCGAGUGGCGAACGGGUGAGUAACACGUGGGUGAUCUGCCCUGCACUUCGGGAUAAGCCUGGGAAACUGGGUCUAAUACCGGAUAGGACCACAUUUUGGAUGGUGUGGUGGAAAGUUUUUCGGUGUGGGAUGAGCUCGCGGCCUAUCAGCUUGUUGGUGGGGUAAUGGCCUACCAAGGCGUCGACGGGUAGCCGGCCUGAGAGGAUGUACGGCCACAUUGGGACUGAGAUACGGCCCAGACUCCUACGGGAGGCAGCAGUGGGGAAUAUUGCACAAUGGGCGCAAGCCUGAUGCAGCGACGCCGCGUGGGGGAUGACGGCCUUCGGGUUGUAAACUCCUUUCGCUAGGGACGAAGCGUUAUGUGACGGUACCUGGAGAAGAAGCACCGGCUAACUACGUG
rnacentral:rRNA from 1 species